UACAGAGGGUGCGAGCGUUGUUCGGAAUUAUUGGGCGUAAAGGGCGCGUAGGCGGCGCCACAAGUCACUUGUGAAAACUCUGGGCUCAACUCAGAGCCUGCAAGCGAAACUGUGGUGCUGGAGUAUGGGAGAGGUGCGUGGAAUUCCCGGUGUAGCGGUGAAAUGCGUAGAUAUCUGGAGGAAUACCGGUGGCGAAGGCGGCAUCCUGGACCGGCAUUGACGCUGAGACGCGAAAGCGUGGGGAGCGAACAGG
rnacentral:rRNA from 1 species